rnacentral:rRNA from 1 species
CCCUUAGAGUUUGAUCCUGGCUCAGGACGAACGCUGGCGGCGUGCCUAAUACAUGCAAGUCGAACGAGAAUUUCUUACACCGAGUGCUUGCACUCACCGUAAGAAAUUCGAGUGGCGGACGGGUGAGUAACACGUGGGUAACCUGCCCAAAAGAAGGGGAUAACAUUUGGAAACAAAUGCUAAUACCGUAUAACCAUGAUGACCGCAUGGUCAUUAUGUAAAAGGUGGUUUUGCUAUCGCUUUUGGAUGGACCCGCGGCGUAUUAACUAGUUGGUAGGGUAACGGCCUACCAAGGUGAUGAUACGUAGCCGAGUUGAGAGACUGAUCGGCCACAAUGGGACUGAGACACGGCCCAUACUCCUACGGGAGGCAGCAGUAGGGAAUCUUCCACAAUGGGCGCAAGCCUGAUGGAGCAACGCCGCGUGAAUGAAGAAGGUCUUCGGAUCGUAAAAUUCUGUUGUUAGAGAAGAAUAUGAGUAAUAGUAACUGAUUAUUCACUGACGGUAUCUAACCAGCAAGUCACGGCUAACUACGUGCCAGCAGCCGCGGUAAUACGUAGGUGGCAAGCGUUGUCCGGAUUUAUUGGGCGUAAAGGGAACGCAGGCGGUUUUUUAAGUCUGAUGUGAAAGCCUUCGGCUUAACCGGAGAUGUGCAUUGGAAACUGGAAGACUUGAGUGCAGAAGAGGAGAGUGGAACUCCAUGUGUAGCGGUGAAAUGCGUAGAUAUAUGGAAGAACACCAGUGGCGAAAGCGGCUCUCUGGUCUGUAACUGACGCUGAGGUUCGAAAGCAUGGGUAGCGAACAGGAUUAGAUACCCUGGUAGUCCAAGGGCGAA